UACGUAGGGUGCGAGCGUUGUCCGGCAUUAUUGGGCGUAAAGGGCUCGUAGGCGGUUUGUCGCGUCGGGAGUGAAAACCCAGGGCUUAACCCUGGGCUGGCUUCCGAUACGGGCAGACUAGAGGUAUGCAGGGGAGAACGGAAUUCCUGGUGUAGCGGUGAAAUGCGCAGAUAUCAGGAGGAACACCGGUGGCGAAGGCGGUUCUCUGGGCAUUACCUGACGCUGAGGAGCGAAAGUGUGGGGAGCGAACAGG
rnacentral:rRNA from 1 species